rnacentral:rRNA from 1 species
UGCUAAUACCGGAUAACAACAGAUGAUGCCUAUCAACUGUUUAAAAGAUGGUUCUGCUAUCACUCUUGGAUGGACCUGCGGUGCAUUAGCUAGUUGGUAGGGUAACGGCCUACCAAGGCGAUGAUGCAUAGCCGAGUUGAGAGACUGAUCGGCCACAUUGGGACUGAGACACGGCCCAAACUCCUACGGGAGGCAGCAGACG